rnacentral:rRNA from 1 species
AUCGAACGCUGGCGGCAUGCUUAACACAUGCAAGUCGAGCGAGCGGCGGACGGGUGAGUAAUGUCUGGGAAACUUGCCGUGCACGGGGGAUAACUACUGGAAACGUUAGUCUAUACCCCAUAGCAUAAGCUGUGCCCAGGGGGGAUUAGCUUGUUGGUGGGGUAACGGCUCACCCAGGCGACGACGCCUAGCUGGUCUGAGAGGUUGUCCAGCCACACUGGAACUGAGACACGGUCCAGAAUCCUACGGGAGGCAGCAGUGGGGAAUAUUGCACAAUGGGCGCAAGCCUGAUGCAGCCAUGCCGCGUGUGUGAAGAAGGCCUUCGGAUUGUAAAGCACUUUCAGCGGGGAGGCGUUACCCGCAGAAGAAGCACCGGCUAACUCCGUGCCAGCAGCCGCGGUAAUUC